GUUUAGCUCAGUACUCAGCCAAAAUCUUGAGAGGAUCCUUCUGCAGAUGCCAUAGUUCUCUCUCUAUGUAGCUCCACCCUUUCUGGUGCUCUGCCCCGAAGACGUUAGUCACCUUGGCCUCCCUCACCUCCAAACUCUGUCUUCUCAAUGCAGUGAGAUUGUCAGGCUGUGUUUGGAUUUUCUCUUUCUACAAAGUGGCCUGGAAACUCUUUCUAGGCAGUAAGCUGGGGUACUCAUAGGAUUCACUUAAUUUUUUUUCUCUUCUCUCAGGGACCACUAUCUUGCACUGCCUGUUAUCCAAUGUCUGAAAACUAUUGCUCAUAUAUUUUGUCUCAUUUUCUAGAGGAUUAAGGCAGGAGGGUAAAGUUGGUCCAUCUUAUACCAUCAUGGCCAGAAGUGGAAGUUUUCCCAGGAAGUUUUAUAAAUUGUCAUUUAUAAGACUGGGGCUGGCCCUGUGGCCGAGUGGUUAAGUUCACAUGCU
rnacentral:lncRNA from 1 species